GAUGAACGCUGGCGGCGUGCCUAAUACACGCAAGUCGAGCGAACGGACGAGAAGCUUGCUUCUCUGAUGUUAGCGGCGGACGGGUGAGUAACACGUGGAUAACCUACCUAUAAGACUGGGAUAACUUCGGGAAACCGGAGCUAAUACCGGAUGAUAUUUUGAACCGCAUGGUUCAAAAGUGAAAGACGGUCUUGCUGUCACUUAUAGAUGGAUCCGCGCUGCAUUAGCUAGUUGGUAAGGUAACGGCUUACCAAGGCAACGAUGCAUAGCCGACCUGAGAGGGUGAUCGGCCACACUGGAACUGAGACACGGUCCAGACUCCUACGGGAGGCAGCAGUAGGGAAUCUUCCGCAAUGGGCGAAAGCCUGACGGAGCAACGCCGCGUGAGUGAUGAAGGUCUUCGGAUCGUAAAACUCUGUUAUUAGGGAAGAACAUAUGUGUAAGUAACUGUGCACAUCUUGACGGUACCUAAUCAGAAAGCCACGGCUAACUACGU
rnacentral:rRNA from 1 species